rnacentral:rRNA from 1 species
AGAGUUUGAUCCUGGCUCAGAAUGAACGUUGGCGGCGUGGAUUAGGCAUGCAAGUCGAGGGAGAACCCGCAAGGGGGACACCGGCGAACGGGGUAGGAUCAUCUCGGUGACGUACCCUCCGGACGGGGAUAGCCACGGGAAACUGUGGGUAAUACCCGAUGACCUGACAGAGGUUUAAGCUUUGUCAGCAAAGGUGAGAUUCCACCGGAGGAGCGGCUGAGGCGCUAUUAGCUUGUUGGUGAGGUAACGGCUCACCAAGGCGACGAUGGCUAGGGGGUGUGAGAGCAUGGCCCCCACCACUGGCACUGAGACACUGGCCAGACACCUACGGGUGGCUGCAGUCGAGAAUCUUCGGCAAUGGGCGCAAACCUGACCGAGCGACGCCGCGUGCGGGAUGAAGGUCUUCGGAUUGUAAACCGCUGUCGGAGGGGAUGAAGUGUAUGGGAGCUAUCUCCUGUAUUUGACAGAGCCUCGGAGGAAGCACGGGCUAAGUUCGUGCCAGCAGCCGCGGUAAUACGAACUGUGCAAACGUUAUUCGGAAUCACUGGGCUUAAAGGGUGCGUAGGCGGUCGCACAAGUCAGGUGUGAAAUCCCCCGGCUCAACCGGGGAACAGCGCUUGAAACUAGGUGACUUGAGUGAGGUAAGGGUACGCGGAACUUCUGGUGGAGCGGUGAAAUGUGUAGAUAUCAGAAGGAACGCCGGUGGCGAAAGCGGCGUACUGGGCCUUGUCUGACGCUGAGGCACGAAAGCUAGGGAAGUGAACGGGAUUAGAUACCCCGGUAGUCC